rnacentral:rRNA from 1 species
GAUGAACGCUGGCGGCGUGCCUAACACAUGCAAGUCGAACGGACCCAUACGGAAGCCUAGCGAAGUAUGGGUUAGUGGCGGACGGGUGAGUAACGCGUGGGCAACCUGCCCCGUACCGGGGGAUAACACUUAGAAAUAGGUGCUAAAACCGCAUAAGCGCACAGGACCGCAUGGUCCGGUGUGAAAAACUCCGGUGGUACGGGAUGGGCCCGCGUCUGAUUAGCCAGUUGGCAGGGUGACGGCCUACCAAAGCGACGAUCAGUAGCCGGCCUGAGAGGGUGGACGGCCACAUUGGGACUGAGACACGGCCCAGACUCCUACGGGAGGCAGCAGUGGGGGAUAUUGCACAAUGGGGGAAACCCUGAUGCAGCGACGCCGCGUGAGUGAAGAAGUAUUUCGGUAUGUAAAGCUCUAUCAGCAGGGAAGAAAAUGACGGUACCUGACUAAGAAGCCCCGGCUAACUACGUGCCAGCAGCCGCGGUAAUACGUAGGGGGCAAGCGUUAUC